CCCCAGAUGUUGCUGAACUACAACUCCCACGAUUCUCUGGCUAUCUAUGUAAUUCAAAGAAUCAUGGGAGUUGUAUUUCAGCAACAUCUGGGG